GUGCAGUCAUAGCUCAAUGCAGCCUUGGAACUCCCUGGCUCCACAAUCCUCCUCCUAUCUCAAUCUCCUGAGCAGCUAGGACUUGCAGGAAGAAGCCUGGCUGGAUGCAGGUCCUGGGCCUCCAGGUGAGGGAAGGCAAAUGAGAAGGGGAGAAGACGGGAAAAAGAGAAGCCAGGACUUCUAAGAGAUGGUGUCUUAGUCCAUUUGUGUUGCUAUAAAUGAAUACGUGAGGCUGGA
rnacentral:lncRNA from 1 species